rnacentral:ncRNA from 1 species
UAAAAGACUGGGAACGGGAAGAGUAGGCGGUCAGCCCUUCAGAGAGCGGAAUUGUUAGUGCUGUGAUUUUCCGCAGGAUGUUUGCCACCGAAGUCGCCCCGGAGUCGCCCUUCUGAACCUGCCGCCGUUCGUACGGCCUGCAGUGUAGGAUGCGGCCGGACGCAGCCGUUAUCUGCAUGAGUGUCGCGCUAAGCUCCGGGAACCGCAGGUGACCGGGCACAGGUGUAUUUGCUGCUAGCGCGAAACAAAGGUGGUACCGCGAAAGAAUGGCCUUUCGUCCUUUGA